GAUGAACGCUAGCUACAGGCUUAACACAUGCAAGUCGAGGGGAAACGACAUCGAAAGCUUGCUUUUGAUGGGCGUCGACCGGCGCACGGGUGAGUAACGCGUAUCCAACCUGCCCACCACUUGGGGAUAACCUUGCGAAAGUAAGACUAAUACCCAAUGACGUCUCUAGAAGACAUCUGAAAGAGAUUAAAGAUUUAUCGGUGAUGGAUGGGGAUGCGUCUGAUUAGCUUGUUGGCGGGGUAACGGCCCACCAAGGCGACGAUCAGUAGGGGUUCUGAGAGGAAGGUCCCCCACAUUGGAACUGAGACACGGUCCAAACGCCUACGGGAGGCAGCAGUGAGGAAUAUUGGUCAAUGGACGAGAGUCUGAACCAGCCAAGUAGCGUGCAGGAGGACGGCCCUAUGGGUUGUAAACUGCUUUUAUAAGGGAAUAAAGUGAGUCUCGUGAGACUUUUUGCAUGUACCUUAUGAAUAAGGACCGGCUAAUUCCGUG
rnacentral:rRNA from 1 species